GAUAAACGCUGGCGGCGUGCAUGAGACAUGCAAGUCGAACGAAGGAUCGGGCUUGCUCGAUCCUUAGUGGCGGACGGCUGAGUAACGCGUAGGUGAGCUACCCCGAAGUGGGGAAUAACUGACCGUAAGGGUGGCUAAUACCGCAUGCGGUCUCACGUUCAUUCGUUCGCGUAAAGCCGGAAGGCGCUUCGGGAGGGGCCUGCGUUCGAUUAGCUCGUUGGUGGGGUAAUGGCUUACUAAGGCGUCGAUCGGUAGGUGGUCUGAGAGGACGAUCACCCAGACUGGGACUGGGAGACGGCCCAGACUCCUACGAGAGGCAGCAGUCGGGAAUGUUGCACGAUGGGGGAGUCACGGAAGCAGCAACGCCGCGUGAGGGUUUAAGGCCUUCGGGUUGUAAACCUGUUUGGUCAGGGACGAUGAUGACGGUACCUGGCGAAUAAGCCACGGCUAACUACGUG
rnacentral:rRNA from 1 species